rnacentral:rRNA from 1 species
GACGAACGCUGGCGGCGUGCUUAUCACAUGCAAGUCGAACGGAAAGGCCCUGCUUUUGUGGGGUGCUCGAGUGGCGAACGGGUGAGUAACACGUGAGUAACCUGCCCUUGACUUUGGGAUAACUUCAGGAAACUGGGGCUAAUACCGGAUAGGAGCUCCUGCUGCAUGGUGGGGGUUGGAAAGUUUCGGCGGUUGGGGAUGGACUCGCGGCUUAUCAGCUUGUUGGUGGGGUAGUGGCUUACCAAGGCUUUGACGGGUAGCCGGCCUGAGAGGGUGACCGGCCACAUUGGGACUGAGAUACGGCCCAGACUCCUACGGGAGGCAGCAGUGGGGAAUAUUGCACAAUGGGCGGAAGCCUGAUGCAGCAACGCCGCGUGCGGGAUGACGGCCUUCGGGUUGUAAACCGCUUUCGCCUGCGACGAAGCGUGAGUGACGGUAAUGGGUAAAGAAGCACCGGCUAACUACGUG